GAUGAACGCUGGCGGCGUGCUUAACACAUGCAAGUCGAACGGUGAAAGCGGGAGCUUGCUCCUGCUGGAUCAGUGGCGAACGGGUGAGUAACACGUGAGUAACCUGCCCUUGACUCUGGGAUAAGCGUUGGAAACGACGUCUAAUACCGGAUACGACCUUCGGAGGCAUCUCCUGGGGGUGGAAAGAAUUUCGGUCAAGGAUGGACUCGCGGCCUAUCAGCUAGUUGGUGAGGUAAUGGCUCACCAAGGCGACGACGGGUAGCCGGCCUGAGAGGGUGACCGGCCACACUGGGACUGAGACACGGCCCAGACUCCUACGGGAGGCAGCAGUGGGGAAUAUUGCACAAUGGGCGAAAGCCUGAUGCAGCAACGCCGCGUGAGGGACGACGGCCUUCGGGUUGUAAACCUCUUUUAGUAGGGAAGAAGCGAAAGUGACGGUACCUGCAGAAAAAGCACCGGCUAACUACGUGCCAGCCGCCGCAGUAACAC
rnacentral:rRNA from 1 species